AAAAAAAAAAAAAAAGAAGAAGACGAAAGAAAAAAUUCCCAUUCCUUUUAUUUUUUUUUCUCUUCUUAAAAUUGAGGUGUCACUUUCAAUUGGAGUUGAAAAAGUAGGUUCUAAAUUUUAAGAACCUCUCUUCAUAAAAUAUGCAUCAGUAAAUUUAUUUUUACUCAUGAUAUUAACUUUUUAAUUUUAGGAACUUAAAAUUUUAUUAAUUAGUUCCUAAUUCCAAUAUAUACAUAAUUAAAAAGUAAUAACUUAAAAUUUCAAGAAAGUUUUAUAAGUUUACAUUAAUGCAUGAAUAUAAUUACCAAAAUAAAUCACAAUUAGUUAAAAAUUAAAAAAAAAAAAAAA
rnacentral:misc_RNA from 1 species